AUACGGAGGAUCCGAGCGUUAUCCGGAUUUAUUGGGUUUAAAGGGUGCGCAGGCGGCCAUUUAAGUCAGCGGUUAAAUCGUGGGGCUCAACCCCAUUCUGCCGUUGAUACUGGGUGGCUUGAUUGCGGUCGAGGUUGGCGGAAUUCGUUGUGUAGCGGUGAAAUGCAUAGAUAUGACGAAGAACACCGAUUGCGUAGGCAGCUGACCAGAACGCAAAUGACGCUCAUGCACGAAAGUGCGGGGAUCGAACAGGAUUAGAUACCCUGGUAGUCCGCACAGUAAACGAUGAAUACUUGUUUUCGGCGAUAUAAUGUCGGAGGCAAAGCGAAAGCGAUAAGUGUUCCACCUGGGGAGUACGCCGGCAACGGUGAAACUCAAAUGAAUUGACGGGG
rnacentral:rRNA from 1 species